AGCGAACGCUGGCGGCAGGCCUAACACAUGCAAGUCGAGCGCCGUAGCAAUACGGAGCGGCAGACGGGUGAGUAACGCGUGGGAACGUGCCCUUCAGUUCGGAAUAACCCAGGGAAACUUGGGCUAAUACCGGAUACGUGCGAGAGCAGAAAGAUUUAUCGCUGAAGGAUCGGCCCGCGUCUGAUUAGCUGGUUGGUGGGGUAAUGGCCCACCAAGGCGACGAUCAGUAGCUGGUCUGAGAGGAUGAUCAGCCACAUUGGGACUGAGACACGGCCCAAACUCCUACGGGAGGCAGCAGUGGGGAAUAUUGGACAAUGGGGGAAACCCUGAUCCAGCCAUGCCGCGUGAGUGAUGACGGCCUUAGGGUUGUAAAGCUCUUUCGGCGGGGACGAUAAUGACGGUACCCGCAGAAGAAGCCCCGGCUAACUUCGUGCCAGCAGCCGCAGUAAAAC
rnacentral:rRNA from 1 species